rnacentral:rRNA from 1 species
AUUGAACGCUGGCGGCAUGCUUUACACAUGCAAGUCGAACGGUAACAGGGAGCUUGCUCCGCUGACGAGUGGCGAACGGGUGAGUAAUGCGUCGGAACGUGCCGAGUAGUGGGGGAUAACGCAGCGAAAGUUGUGCUAAUACCGCAUACGUACUGAGGUAGAAAGUGGGGGACCUUCGGGCCUCACGCUAUUCGAGCGGCCGACGUCUGAUUAGCUAGUAGGUGAGGUAAAGGCUCACCUAGGCGACGAUCAGUAGCGGGUCUGAGAGGAUGAUCCGCCACACUGGGACUGAGACACGGCCCAGACUCCUACGGGAGGCAGCAGUGGGGAAUUUUGGACAAUGGGCGAAAGCCUGAUCCAGCCAUGCCGCGUGUCUGAAGAAGGCCUUCGGGUUGUAAAGGACUUUUGUCGGGGAGGAAAUCCCCAGCGCUAAUACCGCUGGGGGAUGACAGUACCUGAAGAAUAAGCACCGGCUAACUACGUGCCAGCCGCCGCAGUAA